UCCCUGGUGGCUCAGUGGGUUGCGGGUCUGGCAUUGUCACUGCUGUGGCUCAGGUUCGAUCCCUGGCCUGGGAA
rnacentral:tRNA from 1 species